GGCGACCGGCGCACGGGUGAGUAACACGUAUCCAACCUGCCGAUGACUCGGGGAUAGCCUUUCGAAAGAAAGAUUAAUACCCGAUGGCAUAGUUCUUCCGCAUGGUAGAACUAUUAAAGAAUUUCGGUCAUCGAUGGGGAUGCGUUCCAUUAGCUUGUUGGCGGGGUAACGGCCCACCAAGGCAUCGAUGGAUAGGGGUUCUGAGAGGAAGGUCCCCCACAUUGGAACUGAGACACGGUCCAAACUCCUACGGGAGGCAGCAG
rnacentral:rRNA from 1 species